rnacentral:rRNA from 2 species
AAAUUGAAGAGUUUGAUCAUGGCUCAGAUUGAACGCUGGCGGCAGGCCUAACACAUGCAAGUCGAGCGGUAGCACAGAGAGCUUGCUCUCGGGUGACGAGCGGCGGACGGGUGAGUAAUGUCUGGGAAACUGCCUGAUGGAGGGGGAUAACUACUGGAAACGGUAGCUAAUACCGCAUAAUGUCGCAAGACCAAAGUGGGGGACCUUCGGGCCUCAUGCCAUCAGAUGUGCCCAGAUGGGAUUAGCUAGUAGGUGGGGUAACGGCUCACCUAGGCGACGAUCCCUAGCUGGUCUGAGAGGAUGACCAGCCACACUGGAACUGAGACACGGUCCAGACUCCUACGGGAGGCAGCAGUGGGGAAUAUUGCACAAUGGGCGCAAGCCUGAUGCAGCCAUGCCGCGUGUGUGAAGAAGGCCUUCGGGUUGUAAAGCACUUUCAGCGGGGAGGAAGGCGUUAAGGUUAAUAACCUUGGCGAUUGACGUUACCCGCAGAAGAAGCACCGGCUAACUCCGUGCCAGCAGCCGCGGUAAUACGGAGGGUGCAAGCGUUAAUCGGAAUUACUGGGCGUAAAGCGCACGCAGGCGGUCUGUCAAGUCGGAUGUGAAAUCCCCGGGCUCAACCUGGGAACUGCAUUCGAAACUGGCAGGCUAGAGUCUUGUAGAGGGGGGUAGAAUUCCAGGUGUAGCGGUGAAAUGCGUAGAGAUCUGGAGGAAUACCGGUGGCGAAGGCGGCCCCCUGGACAAAGACUGACGCUCAGGUGCGAAAGCGUGGGGAGCAAACAGGAUUAGAUACCCUGGUAGUCCACGCCGUAAACGAUGUCGAUUUGGAGGUUGUGCCCUUGAGGCGUGGCUUCCGGAGCUAACGCGUUAAAUCGACCGCCUGGGGAGUACGGCCGCAAGGUUAAAACUCAAAUGAAUUGACGGGGGCCCGCACAAGCGGUGGAGCAUGUGGUUUAAUUCGAUGCAACGCGAAGAACCUUACCUGGUCUUGACAUCCACAGAACUUUCCAGAGAUGGAUUGGUGCCUUCGGGAACUGUGAGACAGGUGCUGCAUGGCUGUCGUCAGCUCGUGUUGUGAAAUGUUGGGUUAAGUCCCGCAACGAGCGCAACCCUUAUCCUUUGUUGCCAGCGGUUAGGCCGGGAACUCAAAGGAGACUGCCAGUGAUAAACUGGAGGAAGGUGGGGAUGACGUCAAGUCAUCAUGGCCCUUACGACCAGGGCUACACACGUGCUACAAUGGCAUAUACAAAGAGAAGCGACCUCGCGAGAGCAAGCGGACCUCAUAAAGUAUGUCGUAGUCCGGAUUGGAGUCUGCAACUCGACUCCAUGAAGUCGGAAUCGCUAGUAAUCGUAGAUCAGAAUGCUACGGUGAAUACGUUCCCGGGCCUUGUACACACCGCCCGUCACACCAUGGGAGUGGGUUGCAAAAGAAGUAGGUAGCUUAACCUUCGGGAGGGCGCUUACCACUUUGUGAUUCAUGACUGGGGUGAAGUCGUAACAAGGUAACCGUAGGGGAACCUGCGGUUGGAUCACCUCCUUACCUUAAAGAA